GAUCAUGGCUCAGGAUGAACGCUGGCGGCGUGCUUAACACAUGCAAGUCGAACGAAACACUCUAUUUGAUUUUCUUCGGAAAUGAAGAUUUUGUGACUGAGUGGCGGACGGGUGAGUAACGCGUGGGUAACCUGCCUCAUACAGGGGGAUAACAGUUGGAAACGACUGCUAAUACCGCAUAAGCGCACAGGAUCGCAUGAUCCGGUGUGAAAAACUCCGGUGGUAUGAGAUGGACCCGCG
rnacentral:rRNA from 1 species